rnacentral:lncRNA from 1 species
UUGUGUGAAUCUUGAAACCAUCCAAAUACCUGACGAAAAUCUUGAAGAAGCCCUACAAAUAAUAUGUGGUGCAGGGAAUCGAACAAAAGCAUCUAAAUAUUUUGAAGCAUGUUCUGACCAGUUUUUUUUUAAUGUAUGGGCCAUAUUAUUUAUUUAUAAACCAGGUGAAAAUACAAACAUACACACACCAACACCUCAAGAUCAUAUAUAUUAUCGUUCACAUAGAAUAGAAAGCUUCCUACGCCGGCCAAUGCGAGAUCCCACCAAAUCCCGCUGCGUAGAAGUUGUCCAUCUCACACUUAUGAGCCACCACGGAUUGGCGGGCAGCUCUGCUGAACCGGUCCAGCUGGGACAAAUGAUGAAACAAAACAAGUUAGAUAGAAAGACAACAAAAUUUUCAUGUGUGUUUAUGCAAAUACAACAACAUCGAGUGCUGGCUUACAGUCGUCGCAGGUGGACGGUCCACCUUGUUGCCCGAGGAUGCCACCAAUGAAAACCAGUAAAACCAGGACGACCAGCAUCAGCCGAACCGAGCUGGCCGAGUACUUGUUUGCCAUCAAGGUUCUGCCGACGAGAUGGAUGUUUGCUUUCUUGUUGAAUUUGGAGUGGCAAGCUAACAGUUUGUGCAGUGG